AUUGAACGCUAGCGGGAUGCCUUACACAUGCAAGUCGAACGGAGUGGCGGACGGGUGAGUAAUGUAUCGGAACGUGCCCAGUAGCGGGGGAUAACUACGCGAAAGCGUAGCUAAUACCGCAUACUAUUGGCGCGGCCGAUAUCGGAUUAGCGAGUUGGGGGGGUAACGGCUCACCAAGGCGACGAUCCGUAGCUGGUUUGAGAGGAAGACCAGCCACACUGGGACUGAGAAACGGCCCAGACUCCUACGGGAGGCAGCAGUGGGGAAUUUUGGACAAUGGGGGAAACCCUGAUCCAGCCAUCCCGCGUGGGCGAUGAAGGCCUUCGGGUUGUAAAGCACUUUUGGCAGGAAGGCGGUACCUGCAGAAUAAGCACCGGCUAACUGCGUGCCAGCAGCCGCGGUAAUAC
rnacentral:rRNA from 1 species